rnacentral:rRNA from 1 species
GAUGAACGCUGGCGGCGUGCCUAAUACAUGCAAGUCGAGCGAACGGACGAGAAGCUUGCUUCUCUGAUGUUAGCGGCGGACGGGUGAGUAACACGUGGAUAACCUACCUAUAAGACUGGGAUAACUUCGGGAAACCGGAGCUAAUCCCGGAUAAUCUUCUGAACCGCAUGGUUCAAAAGUGAAAGACGGUCUUUCUGGAAGUUCUCGAUGGUUCCGCGCUGCAUUGGCUAGUUGGUAAGGUACCGGCUUACCAAGGCAACGAUGCAUAGCCGACCUGAGGGGGUGAGCGGCCACACUGGAACUGAGACACGGUCCAGACUCCUACGGGAGGCAGCAGUAGGGAAUCUUCCGCAAUGGGCGAAAGCCUGACGGAGCAACGCCGCGUGAGUGAUGAAGGUCUUCGGAUCGUAAAACUCUGUUAUUAGGGAAGAACAUAUGUGUAAGUAACUGUGCGCAUCUUGACGGUACCUAAUCAGAGAGCCACGGCUAACUUCGUG